rnacentral:lncRNA from 1 species
CGCUGUCCUUGGAGCGCGUGAUAGGAGGGGUGAAAGUGGGUGCCAGUGCAGGGAGAUUGGAGCGUCCUUCAGUUGGCACAGGAGGGGAGGAGUCUGGAGAGGUCGAUGGAGGAGGCUCUCCGGUAACCUGAAGCUGCCUCGAGUCAGGGAGCACCAAGGACCCUUGACCCUGCUGCAGGGCCAGCCGCCACAAUGGCGGCCCAUCUUCUGUGUUCUGCGUGGAGAUGGACAUCUAGAAUGGUUCAGUCACAAGGAGAACUAUGAGUCUGGGGGCUGUCCGCUAGGCUCCGCAGCUCUAACCGGGUAUACACUGCUCACAUCCCAGCGUGAAUACCUCUGCCUUUUGGAUGACCUCUGCCCCAGCUCCUCUGG